GUUGGGGUGGUUCGGCGGGUUCCACGCUGAUGACAUGGGUGCGGAGGCGCUGGCCGUGCGCCGCGGCUUGUUCGUCCAGGCCGCCUGCGC
rnacentral:tRNA from 1 species